UAUAAGAUAUUUAAAUAAAAUCUAGAAUCACCCACCGCGUCCUAGAUUGCACGCAGGUGAGACUGUUGACAAUCGCUCGCUGUCCACAGCCGAGUCGCUACAGAAUCGCCCGCGUAACAACUAACUCAAAACACCACUCACCAUGCGUCUCCUAUUUGUGAUAUUCCUUCUCUACGUCGUCUUCGUGUCCGCUGCACCGCAAUCUAAGCUUCAAUUCGGUAACAAUGAAAACAACAAGCAAGUGGUAGAAGAGGUUGUGGUGGAAUCAGUUCUUCAUAUCAAGAGUCAAUCCGGUAAUCGUCAAGCGAGGACUGACGCUAGAACUAACUUGCAAGAUGGCGCCCGAGUCGCGGAAACGAAAAUUUAUUAACCGAUUAACAUUAUCAUUAUAAUGUAAUUUUCUAACUAGUCAAGUACACAAGAAGAAAUGUUUGUAAUAGA